CGUAGGUGGCAAGCGUUGUCCGGAAUUAUUGGGCGUAAAGCGCGCGCAGGCGGUUCCUUAAGUCUGAUGUGAAAGCCCCCGGCUCAACCGGGGAAGGUCAUUGGAAACUGGGGAACUUGAGUGCAGAAGAGAAGAGCGGAAUUCCACGUGUAGCGGUGAAAUGCGUAGAGAUGUGGAGGAACACCAGUGGCGAAGGCGGCUCUUUGGUCUGUAACUGACGCUGAGGCGCGAAAGCGUGAGGAGCAAACAGGAUUAGAUACCCUGGUAGUCCACGCCGUAAACGAUGAGUGCUAAGUGUUAGAGGGUUUCCGCCCUUUAGUGCUGCAGCUAACGCAUUAAGCACUCCGCCUGGGGAGUACGGCCGCAAGGCUG
rnacentral:rRNA from 1 species